GGGAGAGGCUGCAAGGAAGUUGAGGGAGACCCGACUGAGGCAGGUCCCGGCAGCUCCAGCCAGAAAACCUCUUGCUUCUCCCCCAGGAGACCCAGGGAAGGUCUGGCCGGCCCUCGGCUCUCGGCCCUCGUGGGCGCUGAGCAAGCUGCGCCCAGGCACCUGCGGUCCUGGUGCCCGCCCCGCUCUGCCCUCUGGCGCUUGUGAAGCGCUGGCUGACAAAAGCCGCAGGCCUUGUGCUCGGUGCCUGCCAAGGACAGCAGUGUCACCGGGCUCUGGGCUGCUGGCCCCGGCUAUCCAGUGACCACGCUUCCACCCCCUGCAGUGCCGGGAGAGAACAAGGUGGGUGGCGCGAACAGAGUCUCUGGGAAGGGGCACACCUUACACCCCCGGGGCAGGGGCAGUGGUGACCCUGUCAUCCCAGAGCCGUGCCCCAAUGGGGACCACCCCCCAACUGCUGUCAUGUGGAAAAAUGCCCUUCCUGCGGACAGCAUCUCAACGCUUCCAGAAUCUUUGUCUGGCUUUCUCGAGCACCCUCGGCCUUGGCCCAGCCUCACACCACUUACCUAUCAGCUCACGCGGGUGAGAAGCCAGGGCAGCAGGCCUAGAGGAAGGGCUGCAUCUAGGGGCUCAGAGUCACGCUGCUUGGCCUUGUCUGCAGUUUGGCCACAGCCUCAGGUCGUAUGUGGCGCAGGAGGCAGCUUAGGCUCACAUCGUCAGGGCAGGAGAAAAAGAAACCCACUCCCCUCUCUCUUGCGGAAAUUAUGGAAAAUAACACUGGCUCUCACUGAUGCUCACUGGGUCACGUGGUGCUGUGGGGUGAACUGUGACCCCAGAAGGGAAGUGUUGGAAUCCUACCCCAGUACCUGGGAACCUGACCUUAUUUGGAAGUGGGUUUUGGGUGAUGUGAUUAAGCUGAGAUGAGGUCACGAGGUGGGCUGUGAUCCAGCGAGACGGGAGUCCUCCUAGAGCCACGAGAACAGGCCACGUGAAGGGCAAACGCCCAGGGCUGACGGGGCAGGUUGAGGGCUGGCAGCAAAUUCCAGAGGCUGGAGGCGGCAAGGAAGGGCCCCCGCUCGCAGUUCGGGGGGGUGGCCCUGCCCACACCUGAAGUCAGGCGCUGGGCUCGUCUGCACAGCCAGUGUGUGUCCUUGGUUGUUGCGGCCCCAGGGACCGGCACCCCCCCCACCCCCGGGAACCAUCAUGGUGGCCGAGUUCAAGAGCCAGGCUCCCCCUGGCUGGGCUGGGGGGUGGUUCCCAGAGGACAGGGUGCUGACCUGGGCCCAUCUGGGGUCCAGAGGAGGUGGUUGCCAGCCGGCACUGAUACGUUUCCUGCACACCUAGGUCUGUGGCCCAGGUCCUGCCGGUUAGAUGACCAGUGACAAAACCUAAGAGGCUUCUUAUGUUCAGAGAGCAGAGGCUCAGGACCCAAUUCUGACAGUGAGUGGCUGGUGCAAGGGUGCCCUGGUCCCCUGGGCCUCCCUCUCUGCCCCGCCCACCACCCUCUCCAUUCCCCAGGUUUUGUGCCUGCUGUUCCUGCAUCUGCUCUGCUCCCCCGCAACUUUGUCCCCUCUCCCCACCCUCUUGACAGGGAGGUGUCUAUACAGGGCAAACAGCACACCACCAGCCCCCAGGACCACGGUCCUCAGUGGAGAACCAGCAAGAUGCGGGGGUACAGCAGGCAGGCGUCUGCGGAUGUGGGGGCGGAGGGGCAAGACAGGCGUUGUUUGUGCUUCAUCCUAAGAAAAUGCGACCUGCUUGUGGUCCUCUUUCUGGACAGGGAUGGAAAAGAAUGCAUUCCUGGGGCUCAGAGAAAAGUACCCACGUGGAUAAUUUGAAACAAAGAGGCCAUGCGGCUGCGAAGCUGGCACCACCAUGGCUGUCCUCCCAGGGCCACACCAGCAGCUGCCAGCCUUGCAAUGCUGGAGCUGCCACUUAGUCACAGCCCAGGACCACACCCAGUGAAGCCGUUCCUGGACACGGGCGGCAGCAGCGGCCCCCUGCCCGGGGGUCUGCGCCCACUCUGUAUGUGGGCUCCACAGGCCCAAGGUCCUGGCUCCAGAGGGUUUCCUUCCAGGCACAGUCGGGGUCCCCCGAGUGCAAGGCCCCCAGUUCCCACAGACCAGCAGGCGAAGCGAGGGGUCAUCAGGGGUAGCAGCCACGAGCUUCAGCACCAGGCGGCCGGGGCGCUGGGUCGAGGAGAGUGUUUGCCACUCAGAGGGCACGUGGGUGUCACUGGCAAUCCAGGCGACCCCACACAACCAGACCUGGCCUGGGUGUGGCAGCUGGGGGCUGGAGCAGACAGGAAUCCGGGGCGGAUGAAGAGACAGGUGUCAGCUGUGGCCUGGGGACCAGCUGCAGCAGCAGGAGGGCUCCCUGCCAGCCCCUCCCCCAGGCCCCAGCCCUUUCCUAAGAAUGUGGGCAGCUGGGGCACCUAAGCUACAUCCCCCACUUCUGGGCACCCUGCACACCUGGCGGGCACCCACUUCCCCCACUUCCCCGGUGUUGGAGGCCCCGGCUGCUUUGGCCUGUGGGCACAGCCCGUAAGUGCCCUGGGGCAGCCUUCGUCCUGGAGUGAGGAGGGCAGGUCCAUCCGGCUGCCCCCGGAGCCCCCUCGGGUGGAGCAGCGCAUCUCUGGCCCCCUCCCCACCCCACCGCCCUUUCUGCUUCCUCUUCCCGAAAACCGCCUUCAGCACGGCCUCGCCUUGGGCUCUGUUCCCGGGAGCCCAGCCCAGGGCCCGGGGUUCCUCCUGGCGUGGCAGCGCGUGCACCCCAGCUCUUCUCAGGAAGGCACCGCCCUCGCUGUGGAGCGCUUUGCUUACAGUCUGCUCCCGCUUCAGAAGCGCCAUCGUUUCCGCCCCAGUGUCCCCGAACCCACCACAGGACGAGGCUCACAGUGGCGCACAGUUCGUGCUGCCUUAACCAACGUGUCCAAUCAGGCGUGGACGCUCCUGGGAAGAAUGACCGAGCCGGCCUCCACGGGGGCUUUGGGGCAGAUGCGCGUCCGGUGCCCGGCCCCGUCCACGGCUGCCCCUUGUGGGUGAGGGAAGGUCCCUGCUGGGCUUCACCCUCAGCCCUCGGUUUGGGCCUGGACGGUCAGCUUCUCUCCUGGGCCCUGGACCUGGAGGACCUGACCCAGGUGAGCAAACAUGCGAGGCUGCUGGGCCACGGUCCCCGCCCCCGCCCCGCCCCGCCAGGCCCAUCUCCCCAGGCUCGGUCCCCAGCCUGCGCCGCCCGUGGCCUCAUGAUCCUUCCCAAAUCAUCCUUUGGCUCAGGUUUCUGUUGCUUACGACCAGGGCCCCACAUUGCUUCCGGGGGGCACAGGAGACAAGCGUCCAGAUCCGUGUGGCCUUGGGGCAGCCUCAGGGUGCAGGGCGGAGGGGGCCCCUCGCUCUGGAGGGGAAACAGCCUGCCUCCCGGGGCCCAGGGUUAAGUAUGGGGGCCUCUGGCUUCUGAGCUGGAGGCUAACUGGGAAACGGGACACGGGCACAGAGAGUGGCAGCCAAAACAUCAUCUUCCUGCUCCACUCAGGCUGUGCUUCGAGCCGUUCCUGUUGCUGCCCUGAGCCUGCUCCUCCCUCACUGUGCUGGACAGAAAGGACACGUGUGUGGUGUGUGUGUGUGUGUGUGUGUGUGUCCAGAGGGCGCCCAGGGCUGGCUGGUCUCCCCAGCGCACCAUGCACGACCUGUCCUCUCAGGUGGGGGCACUGAGCCAGCAGAGAGGGGUGCCCUGCCUCUCGAGGGCUGAGCGAUGGGCAGCAUGAGGGUUCCGAGGCUGUGGGCUGCGGGUGACAUCCUCCAGAGAAAUUCCUCAAGCUCGUGCCUUCUAGGUUUGGCUGCUAGUACUGUGGGUUUUAUAUAGUAGCGAUUUAUCUUCUCCCCUAAAGUGAGUUCCUGGGGGGCCAUUUUAGGCUGGCACACUGCUCCUCAAAGUCCCCUGAGACCCAGGUUCCAUCGGCCAUUCUUAGCUUCCGUGUCAGCCCUUAUGGUCAGAAGAAGGCUGCUGGGGCUCCGGCCGUCACACCUACACACCAAGAGGGAAGAAGAGAAACGCCGAGGGGCCAAAGGCAAUCUCCUUCCCGAGUCCCUCCCAGGGUGCAAAAUGGAACAACCCCACAAGGGGCAACUUGGCAGCUCUGAGCAGAACCUCAGGUGAGUUCACCUGUGAUCCUAGGUGACUCCAGGCAUUUCCCUGCACGUGCACCUGUGUCUUACAAAGACUUUAUUUGGGGUUAUUCAGUGCCACCUGGCUGGCAAGGGCAGGCGAUUUGAAAUGAUUCAGACAUCACUGGGGGCUGAUCGAGAAGCCACAGUUUUCCCACAGCGCCAGAUGCCGGGCUGUGGUUGCAAAGGCAGCCGCGAAGGCGGCUGUAGGACCUGUGAGGAGAUGGCCAGGGACCACCUGGUGGCCCCUCCUCUUCUUGCAGGAAAGGGGGCAGUUUUCACUUCCUGGGGCUCUUGCGACAAACACAACUGGCGCCUGAAACCACAGAAGCCCGUGCUCUCACAGGUGGGGGCCAGGAGUCCAAGGGCGGGUGUGGGCUGCCCGCGCCCCUCGGGGCCGGGUCCCCCCACCUCCGUCUCCAUCUUCACUCCUGCGUGGCCCGUCCUCAGUCCCACUUGCCAAGGCCCCUUUCCCGGCCCUUCCUUGGGACACCGCACCUCCUAACCCUGGGGGAUGCUGGCAGAGGCAGGGGAGCAGGCCACAUGCACAGGAAGGACGGAGACGGGAAUAAGGCUUGAGGAAGAAGGGGACAAGCGGAGGGAGGCCAAGGUGACAAGCAGACAGGCAGGCAUUGAGCAAACGAGCAGGAGCGGCCAAGACACCAACAAAACGCAAGGGAGUCCUUUCAACAUCAGCAAAAGGAUAUCCGGUUUAUCCAAUGGGAAGCACGAAAGGAAAAGAAAUAAAAAUAAGACACAGUAAACGGAAUACAGGCAAUAAGAUGGCAGAAAUCAAUGCGAACACAACAGAAGAUGCAUGUUGGGAGUGCGUUAAUUUUACCAGUUGAAAUUUUACCACAGUGGCAACAAACCCAACUAGUACCCAUGAGGGUGCGGGUUCGGUCCCUGGCCUUUCUCAGUGGGUUAAGGAUCCGGCAUCGCCGAGAGCUGUGGUAUAUAGGUUGCAGACAGGGCUCGGAUCCUGCAUUGCUGUGGCUGUGGCGUAGGCCAGCAGCUAUAGCUCCAAUUUGACCCCAGAGAGGGAACUUUCAUGUGCUGUGGGUGUGGCCCUAAAAAGACCCAAAAAACCAAAACCAAAACCAAAACCAACCUGAUUUAAAAAUGGGCAAAAAACAGGAGUUCCCAUCAUGGCGCAGCAGUUAACGAACCCAAUUAGGAACCAUGAGGUUGCGGGUUCGGUCCCUGCCCUUGCUCAGUGGGUUAACGAUCCGGCAUUGCCGUGAGCUGUGGUGUAGGUUGCAGACGCGGCUCGGAUCCCGCGUUGCUGUGGCUCUGGCGUAGGCCGGUGGCUACAGCUCCGAUUGGACCCCUAGCCUGGGAACCUCCAUAUGCCGUGGAUGCAGCCCUAGAAAAGGCACAAGGACAAAAAAAAAGGGCAGAAGACCUGAUUAGACCUUUCUCCCCAAAGGACGUACGGACGGCCCAUAGAAGCUCAGCAUUAUUAAUUAUCAGGGAAAUGCAAAUCCAAACUCCAACCUCACCCCCGUUAGAACGGCCACCGUCGAAAAGAACACAAAUAACAACGUUGCUGAACCUGUGGCGAAAAGGGCCGCUGUACCCUGUCAGCGGGAAGGUAAACUGGUGCCAGCCCGUGGAAACCCACAUGGCGGCUUCUCAAAAACUACGAACAGAAGGACCCCAUGAACCAGCAGCUCCACCCCUGGGUAAGCAUCCGAAAAGACACAUGCACCCAAUGUUCGCAGCAGAAGUACAACAGCCAAGACACGAAAGCAGCCUAAGUGUCCACUGACAGAUGAGUGGAUAAAGAUGUGGCACCUACGUACAGCGGAAUAUUAGUCAUUAAAAAAGCAAUAGUAUUUUGCCAUUUGCAGCACACGGAUGGACCUGGAGGGUGUUGUGUGAAGUCAGUCAGACAGAGAAAGACUCACAGCGUGUGGUAUCAUUUACAUGUGGAAUCUAAAAAAUAAAACCAAGCCGUCGAUAUAACAAAAAAGAGGAGUUCCCGUCGUGGCGCAGUGGUUAAUGAAUCUGACUAAGAACCAUGAGGUUGUGGGUUCGAUCCCCGGCCUUGCUCCGUGGGUUAAGCAUCCAGUGUUGCUGUGGCUGUGGUGCAGGCCGGCAGCUACAGCUCUGAUUCGACCCCUAGCCUGGGAACCUCCAUAUGCCGCGGGAGCAGCCAUAAAAAGACAAAAAAUAAAAAUAAAAACAGGACCUACUCAAGCUGACAAGCUUUUGUACAGCAAAAGAAACCAUUAAAAAAAAAAAAAAAGAAAAAAAA
rnacentral:lncRNA from 1 species